ensembl:lncRNA
CUGGGGUCUCAGGACAGGUGCUGUUACCGCGAAACAAUAGAAAUAUCAAGGUCUGUUCUCUGCAGCACGGCUGCUGUCCCCAUUGGAGAGCGAGGGGAUGGAUGGACCAGCGCCUUAAUGAGGGGUGUCUGACAGUGGGUCCCCAAAUCCUUGGUGGUUCAGAGGCUGGAGCAAGAGCUGGGGAAGCCAAACGGUGCAGGUGGGAAGCACAUCUGGAUACGCCAUCCUCUCAGAGUUAUCAUAGUUCAGGAGGUGUUAAAGUUGGUGUCGACACAUCCUCAUCUGUGGGGAGAUGCAAUGGGACCCUGAAAGACGCAGAGCUCCCAGGGCCACCGAGGUGAGCUGCUGGGACACAGCGCCUAGGAGGGCAGAGCAUUCCCAUCACUGGGUUUGCAUUACUGCUCAUGGUGAGGCCACGGGUGACAGGGAACAGCUCUGCUGGAAGCCCACACAUGGCAGCCACAGCUCCCAUGCUCCCUGCUGGGUGGAGACAGAGAUGAAGAAGAGGUCACCUGCAUAUAGAGAGAGAUGGAGAGAUGGGGAAGGACCUUCACAGAGAGACAGGCAUAGGCAGACCUCAGGAUGUGUAGACAAGCACUUUCUGAAACAAAAUUCAUGCUAAGUGUGCCACCCAUGGAGAAGACUUGAUUUUCUCUUCUCCUCUGCCACCUGGACAAAGAUGAGUUGGUCAUACUCCGGGACUCUUUCAUGCACGCUGG